GUGCCAGCCGCCGCGGUAAUACGUAGGCAGCAAGCGUUGUUCGGAGUUACUGGGCGUAAAGGGUGCGUAGGCGGUCCCUUAAGUUCGGUGUGAAAUCUCCCGGCUCAACUGGGAGGGUGCGCCGGAAACUGAGGGACUCGAGUGCGGGAGGGGAGAGCGGAAUUCCUGGUGUAGCGGUGAAAUGCGUAGAUAUCAGGAGGAACACCGGUGGUGCAGACGGCUCUCUGGACCGUAACUGACGCUGAGGCACGAAAGCGUGGGUAGCAAACAGGAUUAGAAACCCCAGUAGUCC
rnacentral:rRNA from 1 species